rnacentral:rRNA from 1 species
AACUUAAGCAUAUCAAUAAGCGGAGGAAAAGAAAAUAACAAUGAUUUCCCUAGUAACGGCGAGUGAAGAGGAAAGAGCUCAAAGUUGGAACCUGUUUGGCUUAGCUAAACCGGAUUGUAAACUGUAGAAGUGUUUUCCAGACACGCCUGGUAAAAAAGUCCUUUGGAACAGGGCAUCAUAGAGGGUGAGAAUCCCGUCUUUGGCCAGAGCUGUUGUCUUUUGUGAUACAUUUUCAAAGAGUCAGGUUGUUUGGGAAUGCAGCCUAAAUUGGGUGGUAAAUCUCACCUAAAGCUAAAUAUUUGCGAGAGACCGAUAGCGAACAAGUACCGUGAGGGAAAGAUGAAAAGAACUUUGAAAAGAGAGUUAAACAGUAUGUGAAAUUGUUAAAAGGGAACCGUUUGGAGCCAGACUGGCUUGACUGUAAUCAAUCUAGGCUUCGGCCUGGAUGCACUUGCGGUUUAUGCCUGCCAACGACAAUUUUUUUUGAGGGAAAAAACUAUUUGGAAUGUGGCCCCCCUCGGGGGGUGUUAUAGCCUUUUAGAAAAUACCUUGAAUUGGAUUGAGGAACGCAGUGAAUGCCUUUAGGCAAGAUUGCUGGGCGCUUUCGCUAAUAAAUGCUAGAAUUUCUGCUUCGGGUGGUGCUAGUGUUUAAAGGAGAAACUCGCUUGGUAUAUUUUUUAUUCGCUUAGGUUGUUGGCUUAAUGACUCUAAAUGACCCGUCUUGAAACACGGG